rnacentral:rRNA from 1 species
CGCGUAGGUGGCCUGUUAAGUCGAACGUGAAAUCCCCGGGCUCAACCCGGGAACUGCGUCCGAGACUGGCAGGCUUGAAUCCGGGAGAGGGAUGUGGAAUUCCAGGUGUAGCGGUGAAAUGCGUAGAUAUCUGGAGGAACACCGGUGGCGAAGGCGGCAUCCUGGACCGGUAUUGACGCUGAGGCGCGAAAGCCAGGGGAGCAAACG